UCAUAAAAAAGAAAUUGAUUUCUAUAGUUACUAAGUUAAGAAUUUUGAGUCUCGGGGUCUCAUUUUGAAGCUUUUCGUCGGAGAUUUCAUUCUUAACAGGUGAAGUCAUCUUCAACUUGGUCUUCUCAGCUUCGCUGCUCCAUAAAAUUAAAGGAUGGGAUUCUGCCUGUUGUUCUUGACAUGAUUUGAAUGUUUUAGUUGAUUAUUCAUAUUGGCAGAAUAGAAGUUGGGGCAAUCAGGAAUGAGAAUAUUUCUGUCAAUUCGUUAAAAAUCAAAGAGAUUUAUCGAUCUCUGGUAGAGUUAACAACUUCCAAAAAUUUGAAGGCAUCCAUGCGUUCAGCUCCUGGAGGACCAAAUCCACAACACCAUCCUCCACGUUCCAAGUAUGCGCCAAAUAAAUUUGGGUACACUCAAACCCAAUAUGACAAAGAGUUAACUUUUUAGAGAAA